rnacentral:rRNA from 1 species
GACGAACGCUGGCGGCGUGCCUAAUACAUGCAAGUCGAACGCAGUGGGGACGGGUGAGUAACACGUGGGUAACCUCCCAUCAGAGGGGAUAACACUUGGCAACAGGUGCUAAACCGAUACUGAUGGAUGGACCCGGGGUGCUUUCGCUAGUUGGUGAGGUAACGGCGCACCAAGGCCACGAUGCAUAGCCGACCUGAGAGGGUGAUCGGCCACACUGGGACUGAGACACGGCCCAGACUCCUACGGGAGGCAGCAGUAGGGAAUAUUCGGUAAUGGACGAAAGUCUGACCGAGCAAUGCCGCGUGUGUGAAGAAGGUUUUCGGAUCGUAAAACUCUGUUGUUAGAGAAGCGGUAUCUAACCAGAAAGCCACGGCUAACUACGUGCCAGCAGCCGCGGGAAUUC